rnacentral:lncRNA from 1 species
CUGUUGGAUGUUCUUUGGACCUGUUCAUUUUGCACAAGGAUUGGAGUUCCAGUAUCAUGCUACUUUGGAAAGCUGUUACAUACAUUCGUAGUACCUGAUUAGUAUAUUGCCAAGUUAAUCGUCAAUUGUGAAUCCCGAUCUGAUUCAGCAAUCAUAAUAGAGUGCACGAGGCGUACUGGUAACCUCUGAUCGAGCUGAUAAAUUUAUGAUACCCGGUUGAAGCAUUGUACGGACUACUUUCGACGAGUUCUUUAUCCUUCCAUCGUCCAGGAUCCACCUUAGGUAUCCUGGAGACACGCUGCUGAGAAGUAAAAACUAAGAAGUUUGCAUCUAAAUCAUGAGCAUGAACCAUGUGACCUACGCAGUGAUCACAUUGCAGCGGUAAAACACAUGCAUGGGAAAGCUGAAAAUACUUCCACAUCAGUCAUGGAUGCAGCUGAAGCCACACAUGAUUAAGAUCAGACAAACGAUAAUGAUGUCAGAAAAAAAGCUAAAAUUGUUUCUCGUGCUGCUAAGUAGGACAACUCCAAUUUCUGUUCCAACAAACUAAAAAAUUUAAUCUAAGCAUGUGUUUGGAUGGGAGACAAUGUAGGACGGGACGGUCCCGUCCCACUUUCUUAGGAUGGGAUGAUCCCAUUUUAUGUUUGGUUGAAUGGGAUGGGUUCGUCCUAAUUUUUUGUUUAGUUGGAGAGAUUGCAACAGACGGGACGAGCACCGUUUUCUCCUUCCGUUAAACACUGUUUGUGGGGCCCACUUGUCAUACUACCAACAUCUUCUUCCUCUUCCUCCACCUGCGCCACGCUAGCCUCCCCUGCUCCACCCCGCCGCCCCCCGAUCCUCCCGGGCGCCCCCGCCUCCGACUGCAUCCGCCCCAGCCGCGCCCGCCUCCGCCCGUGGGAGCCCCGGCCGCGUCCGCCCCGACCGCGCCCGCCUAUGCCCGCAGGAGCUCUGGCCGCAUCCGCCCCGACCGCGCCCGCCUCCGCCGCGCCCACCUGACGAAGAAGAAGCAGGAGCUCGCCCACCUCCAGCUCGCCCGUGCGCCCGCAGCGGAGCUCGCCCACGCCAGCCAUGGAGGGCCGCGACGGAGCUCCAGCCCGUCCGCGCAACAGCGGCGGAGCUUGCCCGCUCGCUGUUGCUCCCUCUCGUGUGACAGACGGGGGGCGACGGCGUUGAAGUGGGACGACCCCGUCCGCUCUUUUUUGGCGGACGGGAGCGUCCCGGAUAUUUGCGGUAUAUUCCCUACUAAGGACGACCCCAUCCUAUAUGCUCCCCAGCCAAACACUGGUAAAAAUGGGAUCGUCCCGUUCCGUCUCGUCCCGUCCUCAGAACCAAACACACCGUAACAGGACCGGGGUACCAGCAGGAACAACAAUAGUGUCGUCCAUGACCAGCCGCCGUCUCCUCCUCACGUCCGCCGUCCUGCUCGCCGCAGUUCUCACCGCCGCGGCCGCCGGCAGCUCCCCGGGCCACUGCGUGCCGGGGCAGGGCAUCCCGCUGAGCCCGCUCCCGGCGUGCUGCCGGCAGCUGGAGGCCGUCCCGGCGGAGUGCCGGUGCCGGGCGCUGCGGGUCAUGGCGGAGGAGACGCCGCCGGCCGUGGUGGGCCGGGCCUGCUGGGUCGCGCUGGCCCAGUUCGCGCCCGCCGUCGUGGCGGAGGCCGAGUGCGGCCUGCGCACCGUCCACGGCAUCCGCUUCUGCUACGCGCUCCGCGCCGACGGCUGGCCGACUGAAAUGCGUGUCUACGUUCUGCCAGUCAGCGUUGAGCAAAUAAAGGGAACAGCUUACAGCUCAUGGCUGUGUGUGUUCUCGUGAUCAUGAGUUAGUCUCGCGUUGAGCAAAUAAAGUGGUGCCGAUAUCGAUUGUUUUCCACAAUUGUAUUCUGUAGACAGGUAUUCUUAUAGUGACAGCUUGUCUCAACCGCGUACUGUGAAAAAAAACACACCCUGUGUGCACUUUUCAGAAGCUGGUGCAACAUAGACUGCGUGCAUAUGAAUCGUACGGUCCUAGAACUCCAAGUUGUUUAAGGCCUGAGACAGAUCAGUCAACCAGCAGCACCGACGCCGCCGCUUCUCCGGGGCCGGUGGCCCGCCAUCUCGUCGGUGUCGUCGUCCGUCGGCCGGGGGAGCGCUCGCGGAAACGAAUCGAUGAGGGGCCCAUCUUUUCCUGGGCUAGGCUGAAAUGAUCCCGCGUAGGCCCAUGGAGGCCUGGCGCAACCCCCAGUGGCUGCGAGACGACGACCCCAGGCGUCGUGACAUUUGGGAUGCCCGGCCCUAAAAAUUCAUUACUCAUCUGCUUGCAGUACGUGCAGGCCGAUGCACCGGCCCAGCAAAGCUUCACCGGCCUUUUGAAUGGACACCACUUCUUAAGAAUGGCCCGCCUUAAAAAAAGCACUCCAUUAUGUUUCCUUUUAAAUCAACCUAGCUCUCGGUCCACAACGCCCCUCUAAAAAUUACGUAUGUAAGAGUUAUAAUAGAUUUAUUAUUAAAUACUAUGUUAUUUCGGCAAAACCAUGUAGAUUAAAACAUAGGCGGCCGCUUGCUUCCUUGAUAACCAAAGUAGAUAAGAAGAAAAAAAAGAACACAACAUACCAUUUUUACAUGGAAAUACCCUUACUAAAAUAACCAUGGGUGCCAGCGACCUUCAUUGUAUCAUGGCAGUUACAAACAUAUGGUUGAUCCUUUACUUCAUCACCUUUCAAAGAUCAGUAUUAGAUCGUGAUUGAUCCUUUACUUCAGUCACCUUUCAAAUUAGAAUUCGGCAUGAGUUAACGACGAUAACGAACUUGCUUGAGUUAUCAAGUCAAGGCAAGUCGUCGCUGUGGUCCAUCAGCCAGCUUAGCUGCCAUAUCGUUCGUAGUCGUAGACGUCACAAGGACAUUGUUGUGGCCUGUCAAUUCCGCACAAGGACGUCACAAGUACAUGUGUGGGUCCCACAAGUACGAGGAGACACUACUAGAACUCCCCGAGUUCUUCCCUGGAGCAAGAAAUCACGAAGGUCGUAGGGAACGUUACGAUUUCCCUACGGUUUUGCUAACGUGUUCUAGGAAAUAAACUAUCCCCAGAGUACUCAGAAAUUUUCUCGGGAAAGAAAAAAUCAGUAGGCCGGGAACCCGAAGAGUUCCAGUAGUGAGAGGGGGAAUGAAGAAAACGGCUCGCACUUUUUCUAAUGCCAAGUAACAGCCAUCACACACACCCUCUCCUUCCCCGCCGUUGCUUCGCCCGCCCUCUCCUUCCCCUCCAGCUGCCCUUUCCUCCCUUCCCUCGUCAGCCACCACGCGGGCAACGGAGCUCGCCCCCCGCGCCGUCAUCUGCUCGGGCCACGCCACCCUCUGCUCGGGCCAUGCCGCUGCUCGCCCCGCGCCGCCCCGCCCUCCGCCCCAAAUCAGCGUCGGCAGUUGAUCUCCACUGCGAAUCGAUGAGCCGUGGCCCCGCAAGCUCCUUCCCGCGGCCAUGCUGCACGCGCCCGGGCCUGGGGAACAAGUGGAAGAGACGAGGGGGCGCCCCCUCAAGUUUCUUGGGCGGCAGAGCUCGCCCGCUUGCAUGUAGCGGAGCUCACCAGCCUUUCGCCGCGGAGCUCGGAGCCUGCAGCUCAGCUCGCCCGCCUGUGUGCGGCGGAGCUCGAGCCCCUGCGGCAUAGCUCGUUUGGCCGCGUGCGGCGGCACUCACCCUUCACGGCGGAGCUUUCCCACGCGGCGACAGGUUGUGGCGGAGAGCGACUUGGAUUGGCGACGCUCUCGGAGGUGGAGUCCGGUGGCUGCGGUGGAUGGCGCGGCGGCGAGUCGGCGCGGAAAACUCACGUACGCGAUAGUUGCCCUUCCCGCCUCUGGCUACAUUGAAAAAUAGUUGGCAUAUUUCAGUUGUAAAGUUUUAGGCUAUGAUCUAUUUUGGCCGUUUGGAUUGGUAUAUUUCAGUUAAGAAGAGAGAAAUUUAGGUUAUAGUCUAAAAAUAACAACUAUUUUUUGGUAGUUUUUGUAUAGUUCAUCUACUGAAGAUGCUCUAAAGAUACCGCUCUAGUCUACGUCUACUUCCUCCAAGCGUAAAUCAAGCUGCCAGUAUUAUCCUUGGAGCAAAACAAAUUUGUUCUCAUUCAAAUAGAGAAAAGCUAGAUUAUUUGAACUGAUUUCUUGUGUUUGUCUUCAACUACUUUUCUCUUUGCAGGGAAAAGUCCAAAUUACUCCCCUAUGCCAUUUAGUUCAAUUCACCCUUUAACACAAUUUGUUCUCCAUGCAUAAGUGAAGUCUUAAGUUAAAAUUUUGCAAGAUGAUAGCAACCAUCAUAACACAUGUUAGAAAAAUAUAUGAUAAAUUUUUUAUCAUUAUUUUGAUGGGUAGGAUAUUUAAUAAUGAAAUUUAUUUUUGAGAUACAAAAUUAUAUAAAAAUAAUGGUGAAAAAUUUAUAAAAUAUUUUAAAUAUAUAUUAUGAUGUCCACUACCACCCUGCAAAGUCUCAAAUUAAAAUUCAACUUGUGUAUGGAGAAAAAAAAUAAAUUCCAUUAUAGGGUAAGUUGAAUCAAAUAGCAUAAUUUAGGGGGUAAAUUGAAUCAAAAUAUAGUUUAGGGGUUAUUUGAACUUUUGCUAUACUUGAAUGGAGUAAUUUGAACGUUUUCCCUCUUUGUAAAUAUUUCUACGUCCAAGUACUUAUUGGCUGCUCGGACUCGGGAACGUGCAUGUCAGCAUCAAUAAUGAUUGAGGAUACUAGUACCUUAUUUAGGGUCUUAUAGUUUUAUCUAAAUUUCUAAUUGUUUUUCCAAGUAUUGUUGAAAUAAGAAAUUUGAUUCAAAAUAAUUGGGAGGGAAAAGGAGAAAUGGAACACGUUAGCAAUGGGCCCUCUAGGCCGCUUGGGCCAAUCAGCACAAAGCUGAACAGUUAAGUAGGGAACGCUAGUCCGGCCCAGAAGCGCCAGUGGCGUAGCUAGGGUUUCAUGUUAGGUGGUCCAUCUUAACAUAUUUUUUUAACUGUAAUAUCAUCUCCACUUCUUUUCGCAGUAAGGAAGGAUGAACGCUGAUGUUGAUAUAGAACAACGAAGGAGCGAUGCUUCUUUUAUGGAUCGGAACAUCACAGUAGGAAGGAUGUGAUGGGCUUGGGCUGGAUUUCUAGGGUGAUCCCUGGCCUACACGGACCACCCUCUAGGUCCGCCCCUGAGAAGCGCGACGUGAAGGCUACUCAAUUUGGCCCAGCGAAGGGGAGAAAACAGCAUGGGACUCAAAACCUCGGCCUCAUGUGGCGCCUCGGCGCCAACAAGGCGCUGUAGACUAUACAAACUACAAAGACCCCCAAGCUACUAGGGUGCCAAGCUGCAGAGCUCCUCCGGCAGGAAGCAAGUACGACGUGGUGGUGCAAUUCUGUAAAUAAUGUUCAGUCAUCACAUGGUCAAUGGCUCAAUGCAGAAGCAGCAGCCCUGAAGUCUCGACCUCUCACUGAUUAAUUAUAUUGAUAAAUUGACGCAAAAUAAUCUUAUUUUUCUCAAAUCGUCGCAAUCCCAUUUUACAAAAUCUCAACUCACAUCAAUUGACAUUCCGAACUUAACAUUCGGUCACAAUAUUUAGUGAACUCCACUGUCAAUUCGCAUCAACUUACAAUCUGAAUUUAACAUUCAGUCACAAUAUUCAGUGGACUCCAGUCGCAAUUCACAUCAGUUUCUGAAUUUAACAAUGAGUCACAAUAUUCAACGAAACACCACCAGCACUUUCCCAGAUCUCAGACGAGGCAGGAAUUUGGCGGGGCCUCAACGGCGCGGUGGUUUGUGGGCCAAGCAGCGACACCUCUGAAUAUCCAUUGCAGCAAUUUUUUUUUCCAAAAACAUUGCUGAGCAAGUAUUUCAUUAACAGGAAGGGCACGCCACCAUUACAAGAGCUGCUGGGCCGUGUUUGUUCGGUGUUGCGGCUGGAGUGCUGGGAGGUUGAGAUCUCCAUUGGAUCGGCACAUAAUUCAGUCAGUCACCCAGCACCCUCACAACUCGGAAUUGUUGUAUUCUUUUAAGUCUUUUGAAAUGUUAUUAAUUGUUGUAUUCCCCCUUUUACAACAUUUUCAGUUUUAAAAUCAUUCGUUUUAAUUGUCAGAAACGAACAAAUCGGUGAUAUUUCACUUCAUGGAAUUAAGGAGCCAUUUAAUUUGUUGAAAGUUUGAACUGAAAAAACAAUAAGAGGGGGUGGGGGGGGGGGGGGGAGGUGAAAGGAAUGGUGAUUCUUUCAAGCAAGAGGGCUGAAACCAUUGUUUGGGGCUAAAAUCUGAAACACAUCAUGUGGGCAUUUCCUCCUGUUAAAGGGAAACAGGACCGUAGUCAGUCAACUAAUUCUUCCAUCUCUUCUUGGGUUCACCGGUUUCGAUCCUUUCUCUGUUCGCACUGUCUUUUGCAGCCCAAUUAGCGCGGCAGCAGCAAGCCAACAGGCACCAAGCGCGGCAAGCACACUUCUCAAAUAUAGUCCCACCUCGCGCAGGCAGUUGGGAUGGGGGGGAGGCGAUGGGUAUAUAAGAAGACUACUCCAUGCAUCUGGGGAAGCGGGAGCUACAGCCGAGCACUCCAAGUUGCAUCAUCCCGAUCGACGAGCCUAUGGAAUGCGAAAUGGCGAUCUCUAGUUCUGUUUGUAACUUGGAUAUUCACGGAUAAAUGGCACAUGAUCUUCCAUUGUUAUAGCCUGCAAACAUUCACAUACCAACUCAAACAGUGUGCAUGGAAGACUGGGGAAUUUCUCGCGGCAUCUUCGUUCUAGGGCUUUCUGUCGAUUUGGGGAAUUUCUUCGCGAGGCGGGAUAGCCGAUGUAGAAAGCAGAUGGAAACCCUAGCUUGGUCCAUCACGUGGGUGUAUGUGUAUGGGGGCACAGUCAGAUGUAGAAAAAGAGUUGAAUUACUACAACAAUAGAGUUGACCUGCUCCUGGCGCGCAAAAUAGGCUGACUUGGCAGCCGCCUCUUCGGCCAUAUGAACAGAUCACGCGGCAAAUAUUGCCGUCGCGGCGUAUGAGUCAUCAUUUGAUACGCGGGUGGACCAUUUAUUCAUCAUUUAUAAAUGCGGGUAAGAAAUAACAUACCGAGAGAAUGGACCAAAUCUUAGAAAUUCUCUCAUUGAAUGCCUUCCACCAAAAUGACGAGGUUCCACGCCGCUCUAUAUAUGUUCGCCUUGGGCCAUCUUGUUCUCUGCUAGAGCUUAGGCCCCGUUUGAUUCCACAGACUAAAGUUUAGUUCCUAUCACAUCGAAUGUUUAGAUACUAAUUAAGAAUAUUAAACAUUGACUAAUUACAAAAUCAAUUGCAUAGAUGGAGGCUAAUUCGUGACAUGAAUCUAUUAAGUCUAAUUAAUUCAUGAUUAGCACAUAUUUACUGUAGCAUCACAUCGUCAAAUCAUGGACAUCUGUGUAAUUAGUUUUAUAAUUAGCUCAUGUUUAGUCCUACUAAUUAGCAUCCGAAGAUUCAAUGUGACAAGAACUAAACUUUAGCUCAAGGAUCCAAACACUCCCUUAGUUUCUUCGAGGUCUACGGCGUAAGCUUGAUUGGUCAAGUUUGAAGGUAUGCAAUCUCGUCGCCUUAUAUUUAUAACUUUUUUCUUAUAAUCUUGUAAUGCUUGUUUCGUUGUAGCCUUUAAUUUCCUGCUAUAGAUCUACACUAGGUGGCCUAAAAAUCUGAUUUGUGGGUUCCCUUAGUUGCGCAUGUCGUUGCAUUUCAAGCCUUCUCAGCAUUGUAGCCGCAUCAUUGUGCAUGUCACACUUAGUUUUUGCUGGUUGUAUGCAUGUCACACUAAGGGCCUCUUUGGGAGCACUCCACUUCAGAAAAACCAGCUCCACUCCACCAGCUCCACACUUUCCUAGCUCCACUCCACCGACUCCAAAAAAACAUGGAGCUCCUGCACGUGUUUGGCUGAUGGCAGUGCUCCAGCUCCAAAAACGUGAACACUUGUUGUGAAUGGUCUAUUUUACCCUUUGUUAACGGACCCACAUGUCAUACUCUUCUGUUUUCUCCUCUCUUCUUCCUCUCUCUCCUCUCCUCUUCUCUUCUACGGGCACCUACCAGAAGAAGAUGGACAUGGACAUGGACAUGGGAGCUCGCCCCGGGCGGCGCGGUGGGCGGACGACGGGCGGCGCGUCGGGCGUCGGGCAGGCAGCGCGUCGGGCGGCGGGCGGCGGCCGGCGCGCGGGCGGGACGGGGCGGCGCGUCGGGCAGCGGGCGGCGGGCAGGCGGCGCGCCGGGCGGGACGGGGCGGCGGCCAGCGCGCGGGUGGGACGGGGCGGCGCGUCGGGGCGCGGCGGGCGGGACGGGGCGGGGGCACGCCGGCGCGCGGGUGGAACGGGCGGCGGCCGGCGCGCGGGUGGAACGGGCGACGGGAGUUUUAUGUUUCGCGAACCGGUACUGUGUAACGAGUGGCAAUGGUGGGUAAAUACCCACCAACUCCACGAGGAGGUCUGUACAGGGGGUUUUUGGAGCACCUCUUGAGGUACUCCACAAAAAACGUGGAUCUACCCCCCUGCUCCACCUUUUUCUUGGAGCCGGAGUUGCUGGAGCUAGACGCGUUUGGCUGCGAAAUUUUCGGAGUUGGUGGAGUGGAGCAAUUUUUUGUGGAGUGGAGUGCUCCCAAACACCCCCUAAAGAGUUCAUAUUGUGCAUCUACCGCUUCUUGUUCUCACACAUAAUGAGCAAUCAUUUCUUUGUGUGUACACCAUUCUCUUCAUUUUUUUUUCUGUUCUGCAAAAAAAAAAUCCAUUUUUUAUUGCUUGGAUGCUAAAACUCUUCAGAUAUGCCAGACACUUUUGUCUUACCAUGCUCAUUUUCAGAAGAAAUUGGGACAUCAACUUAUGCAGAACAUAUUGCUAACUGAAUCGUGUCUUUUUUUUUUUCUUCUGCAGGAAGCCAUGGCCGGCCAGUCCAGCAACCUCGGGGCGUCUUCUUCCAGCACGAGGAAGGAGGAAGGGAAGCGCUAGCAGAGUGCCACAACGGCCGAGGAAGCCAAGAAGCAGCGUCCUUCCCAGCCCAACGUCACGGCGCGUCCCGGCGGCUCCACCAUCCCCGCCGUGGCGCCGAACUUCGAGAGCAACGCCAUGGCGAUGGUGUUCCCCAUGGCCGGCGUCAACGGCGCCGCGCCGCUCUGGAGCACCGCAGCUACACUGGGUGCGGCGGCGGUUAGCGCCAACGGGCCCGCCGCCCCGUCCGCGCCCGCGCCCGGCCUGCAGGCGCCGGGUGCAACCAUCAACGUCGCGGCGGCGACGCGGCGUUCGUGCCGCCGGCGACGCCCCUGGUGCUAGCGCCAGCGGCUGGCGGUAAGGCCGUGCCCUUGCCCCUCCAGUUCGUUGGCUACAAAGUGCAGGAGUCCGGCGUCGGCGGCGCGACGUCGCCGGCGGCGGCGGCCGUUGGCAUACCGCUCGCGGUGGCCCUGGACAAGAUCAACAACAACACCCUGGGUAGCAUGCUCUCGGCGCUGAUGCCGGCCUGCGUGCCGUCGCUGCAGCCGGACCAGGUCGUCGCCGGCGCUCCUCCGCCUCCGUGGUGGCCGGCGGCGUCGGAGGACCGAUGGAUCCCGGAGCAGGUCGAGCACCAGGCUACCAUGCCGCCGGUGCCGUUCGCACCUGUUUACCGGCUCAAGAAGGUGCAGAAGGUGGCGGUGCUCGUCGCCGUCGUGAAGCACCUCUCGCCGGACAUCCCCCGGAUCUCCAGGGAGGUGAGCAACAAGGCCAAGCUGUCCGAUUGGGAAGCCGUCCUGUGGAACUGCUCCCUCGCCCAUGAGUGGGCCAUGUGCACAAGGCCAACGUUCGUCGUGCUCCAGCAGCAGCCGCACGGUGACGGCGGCGGCAUCGCUACCGCUGAUGGCUGCGAGCAGGUUGUCAGCGUUCAUGGUGAUUCCGUGACAUCGCCGCCUGCUGUCGAUGGCGGCCAGGUGGUCGCAGGAGCCGAGCCAGAGCAGCAGUUUGAGGACAUGCUGGCGCCGCUGGAAAUGCAGCAGUGCGAAGAAGUCCAUCAGGUCGUCGAUGCUGAAGUCCCAAGUGCAGAGGAAGUGAUUGAGGAAGACGAGGACAUUAGCCGCAUUUUCCUGGAUUUUGGCACACCUAUGGGCACACCCCAGGAGGUCCCAAAUGUUGUUGAUGAUGAUGCUCCUUGAAGCUCCAGGAGGUCUCUGGGCCUUCCGAUGAAGAGCGGAUGGUACUGAAUAUGCUAAUAUACUAGCAUAUGGGAGAUACGCUCUCGUCUAGAUCCGACGGCUCGGAGGUCCCUUCUCGUGAUUCGACACCGGAAGGGUGAUCUCAAUAUUUAGGUUUACUUCAUUUGCUUGCUUUUAGGUUCAAUUUGAAUGUUUGAUCUGGUUGAUAGUUUGGCUAAAACUUGAGAUUGUUUAGUUUGAAGUUUGAACUCAUAUUUAUCGUUGUUUUGGAGCCGCUGUUUUCUCCUUCCGCAAUUCUGGUGUUGUGAAACUAUGUCAUUGGUGUUCUUGCAUUGUUUAUCAUAGAACAUUACCCGUAUGCUCCUCUGGAGAAGUUCACAAUGAAGUCUUUGUACGAAAACAUAAAGUUCACAAUGCUCUAGCCGAGGAUGGCUGUGAGCAUGGCAAUCUGAAUGUUUGGACAUCUAAGCUGGUUGACAGUUUAGUAGAGAAUUUGAGAUCGUUUCAGUUUGAACUGAUAUUUAUCUCUGUUGCAACCGGUAGAGUGGUGGCUAUCAAACAGGAAACAAAUGGCCAAGGACUCUGGUUGUUCUUACUACUUGGUGGCUUCGGAAUGAAACAAAUGAUCAAGUGUUCCAUAAUGGAACCCUCUCGUUUCCUGAUCUAGCUAGCAACUUCCGGGAGGAGGAAUGUCUUUGAUGCUAAGCGGAUUGUCGAGGCUUGUCGCACAUUCUUUCUGUUAUCUAGUGUGUAACCUACUUGCACUAGGGUCGAUCUUGUUUUUUCUUUCUCAAACCGACCAAGUUCCUGAAACUUAUGCUUAACUCAUAUUCCCUCUUAAUGAAAUACGUGCAACGCAAGUUCUAGAAAAAAUUGGGUUAGAGUGUCAAAAUUGCGCUAUUCCACUAUUGAUUGUUUUUUCUUUGAUACUUUACUAUUGAUUAUUGUUAUGGUUUCCAUGACAAAGUGUAGGAAAAGAUUGAUUCAUCGUGAACAUAGCAAAGCAACACUAUGCCGAAGGAUGGCAAUCUCAUUAGAUCGAGAUGCUCGAAUCUAAUCAUAUCAUGAGAUUCAACGAAGACUGUCCAAUUAAUGUGCUGAAUGAUGGCCAGUACAGGUCAUAGAACUUCAAAUUCUAAAUGAUCAAAUUCACCAAUCUUUAUUACCUUUAAAUGUGGCUUACUGUACUUCAGCAGGUGUUUGUGUUGAGCAGCCAACUGCUCUUAGACAGGGCUGCUUGUAUUCAGGAGCCAACUCAUCCAAGAUGGGAUCUCUUGGGGUCUGGGUUUGUUCUGUAGUAGUAUAUCAUGGUACUUAUGAAAUGACAACUUUCCUCCUAUAAAUAUUAGGCAUGGAGUUAUGAGGAACAAGGCGGUGUUGAACAAGCAAAAUCAUGAGAUGGUUCCACCAUGAACAUUGCAUAGAUCUGUUCAACUAAACACUCAUGAUACAGUGAUGGUAAAUCUGGGUUGAUGUGGAAAGAGAUUAGGCUGCAGAAUCAUUGAAAUAGUAAAAUCAGUCGUUUCUAAGGACUGACUGGGAUCCAAACACUUUAAGACUAAAUCCUCUAAGGUUCUAGAACAAUCCUUUCUUCAGAACAGGGCCUAAAGCAUGUUCUCCAUUUUGCGUCUCUGUAGCCUAAACCGUAUCAUCAACUAAUUUCAGCAGAUGGUUAUUGUUCAAGAGUGGAUGCAUGUGGUCAAACUAAAAUACUUGUUGUCUAGAUCUGAACAUUUGGAUAUACUUUAUUUGCAUUAAGGUUUGAUUUAAAGAUCUAAGCUAGUAGAAAGUUUAGCUGAGUAAAGGAUUGGUGUUAUUUCUGGAUUUUAGUUGACAAUGGAACUUGUACCUUUGGAAGGCGACAAAUAUAUCUCGCUAUGUGAGUUAUUCUGAAGGUUGCUUUGGCAUUAUGGUAAGGGAGCACGCACACGUAGGGGUGGUAAUGGAUCAUGACCCUCAUGCCUUCCUCACAAUCCAACUCAGCCCUAUCUAUUUUUAGUUCAAAAUCAUAUAAUCUUAUAGCCCGACCCUUAUUGAGCCUGAUCCUUAAAUUUGCUAGGCUAAAUUAGAGGAUCCUUUACCACCCUUACGCACACCCCGCAUGUCCAGUGCACCCCCGAGCAGUAGGAGGCCUAUGUGCACGAGCAGGAGGAGCGCUUGAAGGCGCAGCGCGCUGACCUCAAAGCCGAAUGAACCCAGUUGGAACUGGAGCAGGCAGAAAUGGAGCAGCAAUAGCGGGAGCUGCGAAGUGAGGGCACGGGCACGUCGUGUCCACAACGACAUCAUCCAUGGCACCGAGACCUUGCCUAUUUCACCAAGGUGAGCCAGAACAUUGGCACCGUGGCGAUGAUCCUGCGAGCUGUACCCAAGCUCAAUGAUCCGGUGAUCCACCAAAUCUACCAUAACCUCAAGGGCUUGGUGGAGCUAGCUAAUGGCACGAAGCGUCGAGAAGUCAUCAGAGCCGUUACGAUGAAGAGGACCUUGAAGCCUUCGUUUGCCGGGCGCCACCGUGCCAUUGUAAGGUAGUCGGAGCAACAGACGUAUGCAAACAAGAGUAGCAAGCCGUGCGAGCAUUACACACAAGCACCAGGUAGUAGCACAUAGCAGUGAGGAUGACAGCUGUCAUAGAGACCGCUGCAAUCACUACUACUGGAGUUUGAGCCCCGAUGGCUCGAGGCCACGCACAUUUGGGGAUUGGAUCAGGAAUGCUCCUUUCUUGUAGCGCUUUUGCCCGCCGACCCACAUCACCAAGUACACAGGCGACAUCAACCUGAGCGUUUGGUUGGAGGAUUACCGGUAGGCGAGCAAUGAGUACUUUAUCAUCUAGUACCUUCCUCUCUACUCGCUGACUCCCCUUGGGCCUUGCUCGUGGACCUUCUCGACAACUAUAUCGGGAACUGGUCAUAUCUGAGGGAUGUCUAUAUCGGCAACAUCCAAGGCACCUACAUCGGCUCUUUAAAUUCAUGGGAUCUCAAGAGCUAUAGGCAGAAGCUUGGCAAGUCCCUCCGGGACUACACAUCAGGUGCUUCUCCAAGCAGUGCAACAAGGUCCUCGACAUUUUCAAUGCUGGUGUGUGGUUGGGGUGUUCAUCUCUGGGACCAUGUGCCAGUCUGUGAUGCACAAGCUUGGCUGCUCGAAGAUGCAUACCACUAAGGAUCUACUUUACAUCACCCGAACUAUGCCUUUGUGAGGAAGCCAUGGACGCCGUCUUCGACAAAUAUAAGGGCAAGGUGAAGCGCCAGCUAACGCAAGCGCGCCAUCUCAUCAGGAAAAGAAGAAGAAAAAGUAGCACCACGACAUCAAGUGUUUCACGACGACUGAUCGAUAAGGGUAGAAGGGCGCCAAGCACCCCUCCAACCACUUCAAGAAGCUGAUGGAAGGGCCAUGCUCUAACCAUGCCUGCCCUAUCAAGCAUCUCUACAAGGACUAUCACAUCUCAAGCUAAAUAUGCUAGGAUUGAAUGUCAUCAUCACUUUGGGCUCCAAUUUCCAGCAUGCACACCGGUGCAACCAGGAUAACUGUCAACUCGCCUCCAAUAUCGUCGAGAUCAAGAAGGCGAUGAUGCCCCAUGACUCAUCCCCCGACUGCAACCAGGUGUAGACGUUGGGUGCCUUCAACUCCGUGUAAGACACCAAGGCAAUCCAGGUCGACCCCAAGGACGCCACCAAGACCGUGUAGAUCAGAACUACAUUGUUUGAUAAAUAGGAAGGUGAGCUCAUCGAAUUCCUCCACGCUAAUCAUGACAUCUUCACAUGGAAGCCAUCUGACAUGCCGGCAAUCCUGAGGGAGGUUGCCAAGCACCAUCUACGUGUCAAGUCAGAGUCAAGUCCGGUGAAGCAUCAUCUGUGCCCGUUCGGUGAGGAGAAGAGCAAGGCCAUAGGGAAGAGGAUGCUAAGAUUUUGGCAUUCGGUUUUAUGAGAGAGGUGUUCUAGCCUGACUAGCUCGCUAAUCAUAUUCUUGUAAAGAAGAAGAAUAGGAAAUGGAUAAUAUCUAUGUGUCACUUACAUGAGCGUGAAUUAGGAGUGUGCAAAGGAUACCCUUUGCAUGCAUCGACCAAGUGGUCGACUCCAAAUCAGGAUGUGAAGCCCUAUGCUUCCAGGAUGCCUACUCAAGCUACCACAAGAUUGAAUGAAUGAAUCCAACCAACUCGCGACUUCGUUGAUCAUCCCCUUAGGGUCGUUCUGCUACAUACAUGACCAUGCCAUUUGGCCUGAAAAAUGGUGGUGCCAUCCACUAGAGGUGCAUGCAAAAGGUUUUUGGGACCAAAUUGACAAGAAUCUCAAGGCAUGCAUAGAUGACAUCAUGGUGAAAUCCAAGCAAAGCAAGAGAUCUUAUCACCGACUUGGAGGAAACCUUCACUAAUCCGUGAAAGAAUUGCAUCAAACAUAACCCUGAGAAAAUGCAUAUUUAGGGUGCCCAAGGACAAAUUACUCUGUUUCAUUGUCUCCGAGUGUAGCAUUGAGGCCAACAUGGAGUUCUUAGCGGUCAAGAACAUGGGACCAAUCACCAACCUGAAAGGCACGCAAAAGUUGACCAGAUGCCUAGCAUCCCUCGGCCGAUUCAUCUCCCAUCUUGGGGAAUAGGGUAUAGCUAAGAACCGCUAUAACUCGCGACUCUUUGAGUGUUAGGCCAUCCGAACUCCAUACACGACGCAUAUUCACUAGUCGGCGGUACGAAAUAUCAACAACGCGGAAAGUUUAAGAACCACAGUGUAUGCCACUCUAAUGUUCUAGCACUCUUGAUGUGCCAGAUAAGCCGACUUGGAAGCCGUAUAUUCAGCCAUGAAUGAACCAUCUGGCGAAUAUUACCAUCGUGGCGUUAAGUGUGUCGUAUCAGCUGCCAGAUACGCUAUCUAUAUUCCAGCAUGGAAAAAUCUGGUCAUCAUUGGUAAAUGCUGCUAAGAGAUACCAUAUUUAGAUAAUAUAUCAAAUAAUAGGAAAAAUUAAGUGAAUACCUUCCAUCAAAGGGAGGCUGGAUUGGCAUCGGCGCGGUGCCUGUUUCUGAUGUCUGUCGCACCGUGCUGCCCUAUAUAUAUUGGUUUUCAGGCGCCGUGUUUUUUGCUAGAGCAAAGUUUCUUCAAGGUCUACGGCGCAGAAAUAAAGCUUGAGUGGUGCACUUUAAAGGUAUGGAACUUCUUUUCGGUAUGCUACGAUUUUUAUUAUAAGCUCUUCUUAUAUAAUAUGAAAUAGUGUGAGAUUGGAGCUAAGUUGCGUAGACAUGUGAGUACAUAUGUUUCUCUUUGUGAUGAAUGUUUCUAGUAUAUAGAUCCACCCGUCGUCUCCGGUUAGCUUUCCAUGCGGUCAGAGAGAUCCUUAUUUCAUCCACCCCUCCCGUGGGUCGACUUGUUCUUAUUUGAUGUACAUGUAUAUAGGUUGACUGAGUUAUGUAUAGUUAUAGUUCUGUGUAAUCGUUUACCUGUUUCCUUCAUCCAAUACUCUGCCCACUAGGUCAUCUCCUCAGUGUUGCGCCCAACGCCAUGGUGCAGACCCAAGCCAUGCAGGGGCAAAAUUGUGUACCUCUGACGAUAAGUGGGCACAAUUGUGAAGGAAAAACAGUGGCAUUCACACGAAAGACACACUACACAUGGGGAAAUUCAGUUAUGUGUAGGAGACAUUAUUUAAGACUGAAUCAUUUUUACUUAGCUUAAGUGGGCGGUCAUAAAUACGCCCAACUUUGUUUUAUCAAUGAUGAAUGAUAGAUCUUGACUCUUAUGACGAUGUAUUUCAAUAGCUCACUUGAUUUAAUAUACUGUUUGUCGCGGAUUUUCAUACUAAUUUUAGUCAUGUAAAGCUGUUGUGUAUGACGAUACGGAAUUAUCACGGACUCAGUUCAUUUUCUUUAGCUUGGGGGAAAAAUGCCUAGACUUGUACUUCGCCCUAGAGGAUUUUUCGCACCUUUUGAUUAACAUUAAGAAUUUUGCACCCUUGUCUCACUAACUUGUGGGUCAUUUCAAUGGCAAGGUCACAAGGAUACCGGACUUUCAAUACAAGGAUUCUGGAUUUGGCACCCUUGUCUUGCUGACGCAGUUCGUCUUCUGGCAGCCAUGCUCGUCGCAUCCCCUCUGCUCAUUUUCAGCUAUGAUCUGAAGUAUUGUUAUAGGACGAUCCAAGUGCUUGCAAUGAACACUCGGUUAGCUGAAUAGCAGAUCUCUGCUAGUUUGGUUACACGUAAACCGGCAGUCGUCGUUACACCAAAUUCAAAUUGAGCAACGUUGAUUUAGAAACAUGGACCAGUAUGAACACCAAGAUUGGAUCAAACAAUUGCAAGCAUUGUGGUGAAAAUCAGAACAUGUUUUAGCUAGCAUUGCUUAUGUUCAUUCUGAACAAUGGUAAUAAUUUGACUCUACAUAUGCAGGCAGGAAGCACCGAGCAAGCAAUGGCCGGCCAGUCCAGCAACCUCAGGGCGUCAUCCAGCAGGCGCUCGAGGAGCAUGGAGGAGAUCGAGCGCCAGCUGGAUGCCGCCAAGAGGCAGCGCAGUUCCCAGCUGGACACCACGGUGGCGCAUCCCAACGGCGCUGCCGUCGUCCCCGUCGUGCCGCUCCACUACGCGGCGGGCGGCCAUGCCAUGACCGUGACGUUCCCCAUGGCCGGCGUCAACGGCGCCGCGCUACACUGGAGCACCGCAGCCACGUUGGGCGCGGCGGGCCAAGCCGUGGCGGCGCUGCCACUGUCGGCAAUCGCCGGCGUUAACGGGCCCGCCGCCGCGCCUUUGGUGGUCGGGCCCAUGCUCAUCGGCCCGCCGGCGCCGGCCGUUGGCCUGCCGCUCGCGGUGGCGCUGGAUAGGAUCAAGAACAACGCCCUCGGGGCCAUGCUCUCGGCGCUGAUGCUGUCCUGCGACCCGCCGGUGGGGCAGCGCCAGGGCUGGACCGGCGCCCCACCGCCGUGGUGGCCGACGGCGGCGGAGGACUGGUGGGGCCCGGAGGUUGUCGCGCACCUGAACACGAUGCCGGCGCACACGCCGGUGCCGUUCGCCCCCGCCUACAAGCUCAAGAAGGUGCAGAAGGUGGGGGUGCUCGUCGCCGUCGUGAAGCACCUCUCGCCGGACUUCGACGGGAUCUCCGAGAAGGUGGAGGUGAGCCAGAACGCCAAGGCCAAGCUGACCGCUGAGGAAAAAAACCUGUGGAAAAGCGCCCUCGAGAACGAGGCCGCGAGGCACAAGUCUGGUUCCGUCCCCAUGGUUCCCGUGUUCAACUUCGUCCUGCAGCAGCAGCAGCAGCAGGCGCCGCCGCCACCGCCGCCGCACGGCGACGGCCACCGUCUGGCCCCGAUCGGCGGUGCUACCACUGAGAACGUCGUGCGCGGCGGCGUCGCCGUCGCAGCCGCUGAUGGCCGCGAGCAGCAGGUUGUCAAUGUCAACCUCGCUGGUGCUUCCGUGACCGCGCCUGCCGGCGAUGGCGGUCAGGCGGUCGCCGCAGCCGAGACAGAACAGCACGGCGACGGCGCCCUCCACGGUGGCGCCAUGGCCGCCGAUGGUGGCAGUGAGAAGCCUGUCGACAUCCCCGGUGACGAUGGCGUGCCCCUCCUCGGCGACGACGUCCAUCAGGUGGCAGCCGAGCCAGAACAGCAGGGUCUCAUUAAUAUCAGUGACGCUGCUGCAGCUGACAUGGAUCAGCUGCUCAACGACAUGCUGGCGCCAUAUCAGAUGCAGCAGGUAGCGGUCGAGGAGGCGCCGGAAGCCCGUCCAUGGUACGUGGAAGAGGACAUGAGCAGCUUCUUUGACGAUUUUGAGGUGCCUGGGGUCACACCCCACCCGUACUAUUAUUGAUGCUGCUGCUAGAAGCGCAGUCGGGAGGUAUCUGGACCGUCCGAUCGAGAUGGGAUGGCAAGGAUCAAGGCUAAACACUCGCGUAAGCGAGAUGAUGUUCUCAUCUAGAUCGGACAGUGCAGAGAUCCAUUUCUAUGGCAAUUCGAUAUAGGCAGAGAAAUCUGAGCAUUUAGGUUUAUUUCAUUUGCUUUUAAGGUUUACUUCGAAUUUCUAAGCCGGUUGGCAGUUUGGUUCAGAACUUGAGAGAUGUAAGGUUCAAUUUCAGUACUCUAGUCUGGUUUACAGUAUGGUUCGGAAUUUCAGAUGGUUUUAGUUUGAACUGUUAUUUAUCGUUGUUUUAAUAACUGGCGUUGCGCUCCAUUUGUGUUGGUUUUAGUUUGUUUUAAUUUAUUUAGUUUGGAAGUGUUGCUUUCUGAAAUUAAAUUUAUGUUGUUUUUGUGCCUUUUAUCAUAGCACAUUGCCUGCGUGCUUCUCAGUAGCAACGAAAUUAGUUGCUUCUCGUGGUUCAUCAGCAGGAACACUCUUCUUACUAGAGAUAAUUUGGCAAAUAAAAAAGGAAUUCACAAUCUUACAUUGCUGGUUUUGCAACAAUGCAGUGUGCUGGGCGAUAAUGUAUUACUCGUAAUGCUAUGACUUUUUAUAAUUUUCAGUUAGUACAUCCAGGACAUAUUGCACUGAAAAUUUGUGUCUUCCUUCAAUUGCUGGCACGAUUGCAAGAUCCUUCCCAUGCUGCUCCUCUAAGCGAAAGAAGGUCUCUAGGCCAUCCUAUCCAAAGGGGGUCGUAGUGAUCAUGCUGGAAUACUCUCAUCUAGGCAUGGCAAUCUGAAUAUUUAGGUUUACUUCACUCACUUUAAGGUUUAUUUUGAACAUCUAAUCUGGUUGACAGAUUGGUUGAGAAGUUGAGACGGUUUUAGUUUUAACUGCCGGAGCAUUGUCCCUUUUGGAAUUUUUGCAUUGUGGAAUUAUCUAUGUUGUUUUUCAGUUGUUUGUCAUAGAACUGGUGCAUGCUACUUGUUGUACCUCUAUACAGCUAUUUAGCUCGUUUACACACCGUGUAAACACUACACAAUGGCUAUGCUGUUUAACCGGUUUAAAUGGUCAUUUAGCCCGAAUAACUAGCUAAACAACAUGUGACCAACUGUUUAGUGUUUAGACUAACACUGUUGUCUAGUCUCAUGAAAAUGGAGUAAGUCAAGUAAAAUAUUAAAUAUGGUUAGAGCGGAGAGGAGAGGUGGAUCAUAGAAUGUAGGAAUGUGAAGUGUGCGGUACUAAAGGACGGUAAUCCUAAGAGAGAUGCGCAAAUGUAACCUGGACUCCAACAAAGUUCCCGAGGCAUGUCUGAUGUAUUCCAACAAAUUUCUGAAAAAUCAGACUGUCCAUUAGCAAACCCUGCCAUUGGGAUAGCCUACAGCACAGAUCAUAAAUUUCUGAUUUCUAAAUGAUUAGAUUCGCCCAUCUUUUAUUAGCUUUAAAGAGUGACUUAAUGUAUGGGUGUCUGGCUGGAGCAACCAACUGCUCUCUAAAACAGGCUCUGAUGGGUUAUUUGGAUUCAGGAGCCAACUUAUCCAGGAGGAGGCUGUUGGUGAUGUGCCCAAGAGAUAAUCAUAACAAUUUGGACUAAAGUCCCACAGGAUAAUUGAUCCAUGAGAGAUUAGGGUAGCUAAUGGGCCUUCAGUAUGGAAGCCCAUUAGUGUGCUCUAUAAAUAUGAGGGGUGGGGCUAGGGGGGCCACAUUCCACCAUGCUGCAACCCUAGCCGCCACUUCCUCUCGGCCUGAGCCCGAGACCUCUGCCGCACGUGCGGUGCUAGCACAUCGACGCACGGCGUUCCUUCCCUGUACGUGUGGGCUCCGUGGAGGCGCUGCUGCUGUGCUGAUCAGCUACGGCAGCACAAGGCUGUUGCUGGGACGAGGACGUGGAGAUCGGUUUGUGGGACGAGAUCGACUACUUCCUCUACACCGACGCGUGACUACGUUGGACCGGCUCUGCUCCAACUCUCCUUCCGUUGCGCCGCGCGUCUAGUGGUAACGAUCCAUGAUCCCUUUACUCGCAAGUUUCCUAGGUGAUACGGUAGAUGUAAUGCUAGAGUAGCUUACUCGUUUUCCUUCAUAGGCCUGAUGGGAUAUGGUUGGUCUGUCACAGGACAUAUCGUUCUACUUGUGGAAUGACAACUUUUCUUGUAUAAAUAUUAGGCAUGUACUUAUAAGGAACAAGAUGGUGAUGAACAGGCAAAAUCAUGAGAUGAUUCCACCUUGGACCAUGACAAAGAUACCUUUCAACUAUACCUAUGGGCUGGGAAAAGUGGUUUAUAGGUUCUGAUUUAUAGACUUGCAAGAGGGCCAACCCCUGUAUAACCCAAAUGAGGUAGAUAAAGAAAGAGUAGUUUGCACCAUUGCUUCAGCCCCCCGACCCCAAACCCCCCACCCCCAACACAAAAAUCUCAGCUACACCAUCGAGCUUGCAUAAGUGGUUCAGGUGAGCGAGAAAAUAACAGCUAGGAUUGGGAUUUAAGUUUGUAAUAUUUUUCAGUCACCAGUAGACACCGAAUUUUGCAAAAUUUCAGUUGAAAUUUGGGCAAGAGUUGCUGUUUCCCUAUCAAAUGGUUGUAUCUUUGGACCCAAAUUUCUUACAUUCAGGACAACGCUAGUGUUGACAAAAUUUUAUUGAAAUUUGAACCCUGAUAACAGUUAUCAUCUAUAGAAAAUAUAAAUAUAAUAUUGGUUCUAUCAACUAGCAACGUGCCAUUGCCACUAGGGAUGAAAACGGGAAGGGAAAUUCUGAUACCGUAUUUUCCCACUAAUACUAUCUGAAACCGAGAAUAAAGAAAAACAAAUUAAAGAAAUGGCACUACUGUAAAGUUUUAGAACUCUUCAAGCACUAUAAUUUUGAUAUAAAAUUUAUCUUCAUCCAACAUUAUAUGAAAAGUUAUAAUUUUUUUUGUGAGCCACUUUUUUCAUGAUUAAAGGAUCUUCAAUCAAGCUAAUAACAAUUCGCAGCCCAUCUGAUAAAUCCCUACAAGGCAAUAGCCAGUUGAGUCUCAAAUUUCAUUCUCCCAAACCAUAAUCAGGCACUCAUCAUUCCCCUGUAACUCAAAAAUCUGCUUUCACAUGAUCUAUGUUAGCACGAUUGGCACCAAUCCAAAAAAAAAACCCAUUGUCAUGUACCUCUACACUAAACUCAGUAGAACAUGGUCUCUGCAGCUGCAAAAAUCCGGCCAAGAAACUUUUUUAGAGAAUGGAAAUGUUCCAGCCAGCCGCACAAAUCCAUGUUAUCACAAUGCUUAGCUAAUCAACUGAUCGAGCUUAAAGUUGAAAUUGGACAGAAGCAAAAGAAAAAAAAAAUCAUAAUUAAAGUCUAUUAUUGCUUUUCCAUUAAACCUAAAUUUCAACUUGAUUUCGGUCAAAAGGAUUCUUAACAGCAAAAAUGAAAUUUUACUUGAAAACCAACACCACCUAUGCAAAAGUAGAUCACAAAAACAUCAAUUUCAUAAAGGAUUAUGUUAUAGUGGCACUUACCAGAUACAGUGGGCAGCCAUAGUGCACAGCGCACCCUUGCUAAGAGCCUAAGACAUCACCAAGGCAUGCCGAAAAUGCCCAAGGGACCUCACAUCUUUCGUGCAUGUGCUUCCUGAUCGCCUGCUACACUACCCACCAAACAUUGCUUCUUUUCUUUGCCUCCUGGCUGAUAUAUUCAAUGAUCAGGAUAGUGAGAAUGAGGGACGGUUUCGAGAGACUAUGAGCACAUUUGUACUGCUUUGUUGCAGAUAAAUAUAUCAUAGACUCAGAUCUUCAAUUUUAAAGUUGAUAGACCUAAAUGAGAAUGCGCGAAAAGUUUAAGGACCCCCAAUGUGUGUCACUCUAGCAUUCUAGCACUCUUGAUAUGCCACAUAGGCAGACUUGGAAGCCUCAUAUUCGGCCAUGAAUGAACCAUCUGGCAGAUAUUACCACUGUGGCAUUAGAUGUGGCGUAUCAGUUGACAUUUGAUAUGCUAGCUAUAUUCCAGCACGGAAAAUUUGCUCAUCAUCGGUAAUGCUGCUAAGAGAUACCAUAUUGAGAUAAUGGAUCGAAUACUAGGAAACCGUCAUCGAAUACCUUCCACCAGAGGGAGGCUGGACUGGCAUCGACGUGGUGCAUGUUUCUGAUGUCUGUGGCACCAUGCUCUCCUAUAUAUAGUUUUCUUGAGCCAUCUUCUUCUCUCCUAGAUCUAAGUUUCUUCAAGGUUUACGGCAAUAAAGUUUGAGCGGUGCACUCUAAAGGUAUGGAACUUCUUUUUCGUAUGCUAAGAUUUUUCUUAUAGGCUCUCUUUAAAGAAUACGAAAUAGUGUGUGAUUGCAGCAAAGUUGUGUAGUGAGUAUAUAUGUUUCUCUUUUGUGAUGAAUGUUUAGAUUGUCCGAUUAUUCUCUGGCUAUCCCACAUACACCUUUAACCUAGGAAAUUUAUGUCCACUUCAUUUUUACUGUUGGUUCUUGAGUGUUAGUAAUUAUUACUGUUGGUUCUUUGUAACAUUAGUGGAAGCAUGUGGAUUCUGGAAUGGUUCUUGGUUGGUGAUGCUGAUUUCCUGGUUAUAUAUGUCUUGGCUGGUUCUUGGCUGGUGAUGCUGAUUUCCUGCUUAUAUAUGUAACAGAAUUGAUAGCUCUAUAUGGCAUGGUCCCUUAUUAAGUUGCUGUAGUAUCCAUUAGUUAAUGUGAAACUAGUUUUACCAUAGGAAUAGGAUAAUAGAUAUGUCAUUUUUGCAAAUUCCACUUGCAUUUCACUGCCACAGUAACAUGUAUUAACAUGUGAAAUACAUGUUCAUAUCGUCAAAACAUGGAUUUCUAGUUCAUGGUGAUUCAACCGAAGUUUCAGCUUCCAGUUUACUUUGUCCCUAAGAAAAUGACAUGACCAUUAUAUAGCCAACUGGAAGCUGUAAUAGAAAAAUCAUUUAACUACCUGAACAUUCAUGUUUUCUCAAAAAUCUAACUAUCUAUUUCAUUGUUCUGAAAUUCCUUUUUGCUCUGUGCAAGCUUAACAUUUCUGAUGGUAACUAUUAACUGUUUUGCAGGCUUACAUCCUUAAAUUUGUGUAGAAGAAACCAGAUUAAUUAUUAAGUUAUUUUACCUUUGAUCAGGGGACGACAGUGGUCCACUUAUUAAAUGUAGAGCCCACAAACCUACCAGUGGAGCUGAGCUUGCAGAGUAAGAAAUGGAUCAGUAGUGUUAAAGAAAUAGAAUGAAGAUGGUAAGUGACCAUGAUAUGUUUUGCUUGUUCAGCACAUUGAAAUAUCUAGUUUAUCUAAGCUUCAGCCCAUAGCAAAGUACUAACAAGCAACUAAUCUUUAUGUUGAUAUAUUCACAUAACAAUACAAGCAUUCAGGGUCCUUACAGUGGCCUGUCUGCUAGCUAAUUUAGUAUCCUUCAUAUAUGAUAUGCAUAGCGCCCUUACUAAUUCAAUUCCUUCUAAUUUAGUAAUCAUUGCUCUGGUCUUUUGUUUUUAAGUAAUUAAUGUAUGCUUUUUAUUCAACAGGAUAUUUGAACUACUAAAUGGAUCACUCGGGGACUUGGAUGCCUUCCAUGGUCAAUACAAGGAAAUUCUGCAAUGUCAAACAAUAUUUGUUGUAGCCUACAUAAGAUUGAUGUAGUUGUGUUGUUCACCCAACACUAGCUAGCUAGCUAUGAACUAUUUUCAAUUGGGAUAAUGUAUUGGGCACUUUACAUACUAUUAUCUACUCAUUGGCACAAUUAAUGAUGGAUUUGUUUCAAUUUCAUGAUGAUUCGAUUUGUGAUUUUUGUCAAUUGUUUUUUUAGAAAAAAUUGCAAUAAGUUAAAUGCAACAAUUGUACUUCAUUUCUAUAAGUUAUUGCAACAACUUUGUUUUAGUAUCGAUACAACUUGUUGCCACCAGUAUUGAAUGUUGCUAUAAUAGUUAAUAACCUCAAAUAAUACCUUGUUGCGAUAUCACUUUUUACUUCUAAAUAUUUUCCAUUGCAAAACUUAUUGUUGCCACCAUAUGAUCAAUUGCAACAUAAUAUAUGCGUGGCAAUAUACUCUAUCGCCACAAUGUUAGCCGUGGUGAAACAACCUAUUGUUGCAGUGUCGGCCCAUUGCAACUAAAUAAUAUAGCAACGCCUAGUUGCGUGGCAAUACAUGCUACUACCACGACAUCGGCAGUUGCCACACCUCUCUAAAGCAAUGGUUCUUUGCAUGGCAAUUACUAGUAUUGCAACAUGACCAAAAAAUCGUUACAAUGCACCUAUUACCACAAAGGUACUUGCAACGGCUUGCAACCAAACUGAUUUAGUUGCAAUUUGUACCUAUUGCAACUAUAUUUGCCCUAUUGCAACUAUUUUUCGACCGUUACCAUUGUCAUGUACCUCUACACUAAACUCAGUAGAACAUGGCCUCUGCAGCCGCAAAAAUCCGGCCAAGAAACUUUUUUACAGAAUGGAAAUGUUCCAGCCAGCCGCACAAAUCCAUGUUAUCACAAUGCUUAGCUAAUCAACUGAUCGAGCUUAAAGUUGAAAUUGGACAAAAGCAAAAGAAAAAUCAUAAUUAAAGUCUAUUAUUGCUUUUCCAUUAAACCUAAAUUUCAACUUGAUUUUGGUCAAAAGGAUUCUUAACAGCAAAAAUGAAAUUUUACUUGAAAACCAACACCACCUAUACAAAAGUACAUAAAAAAACAUCAAUUUCAUAAAGGAUUAUGUUAUAGUGGCACUCACCAGACACUGUGGGCAGCCAUAGUGCACAGCGCACCCUUGCUAAGAGCCUAAGACAUCACCAAGGCACGCCGAAAAUGCUCGAGCGACCUCACAUCUUUCAUGUCAAGCAUGUGCUUCCUGAUCACCUGCUACACUACCCACCAAACAUUGCUUCUUUUCUUUGCCUCCGGGCUGAUAUAUUCAAUGAUCGGGAUAGUGAGAAUGAGGGAUGAUUUCGAGAGACUAUGUGCACAUUUGUACUGCUUUGUUGCAAAUACAUAUAUCAUAGACUCAGAUCUUCACUUUUAAACUUUAUUGAUCUAAAUGAGAAUGCGCGAAAAGUUUAAGGACUCCCAAUGUGUAGUGUCCCUCUAGCAUUCUAGCACUCUUGAUGUGCCAGAUAGGCAGACUUGGAAGCCUCAUAUUCGGCCAUGAAUGAACCAUCUAAGCAGAUAUUACCACUGUGGCAUUAAAUGUGGCGUAUCAGUUGACAUUUGAUAUGCUGGCUAUAUUCCAGCACGGAAAAUUUGCUCAUCAUCGGUAAUGCUGCUAAGAGACACCAUAUUGAGAUAAUGGAUCGAAUACUAGGAAACCGUCAUUGAAUACCUUCCACCAGAGGGAGGCUGGACUAGCAUCGGCGUGGUGCAUGUUUCUGAUAUCUGUCGCACCAUGCUCUCAUAUAUAGUUGUCUUGAGCCAUCUUCUUCUCUCCUAGAUCUAAGUUUCUUCAAGGUUUACGGCAAUAAAGUUUGAGCGGUGCACUCUAAAGGUAUGGAACUUCUUUUCCGCAUGCUAAGAUUUUUCUUAUAGGCUCUCUUUAAAGAAUAUGAAAUAGUGUGUGAUUGCAGCUAUGUUGCAUAGUGAGUAUAUAUGUUUCUCUUUUGUGAUGAAUGUUUAGAUCCACCCGCUGUCUUUGGUUAGCUUUCCAUCUAGUCAGGGAGCUCCUUAUUUCAUCCACCCUCCCGCGUAUCGACUUGUUCUUAUUUGAUGUGUGUGUGAGUGUGUAUCUAGUAAUGCAUGAUUAUUAUUCUGUGUAAUCGCUUAACUUUUGCCUUGGUUCGAUACGACUCUGACCAGGAUGAGAGAACAUGACCAGAACUGCUUGGCUUGAAUCAACAAGCUAGUCCUUGUACCUGCAAUCACUAGGUCACCUCCUCAGUUUUGUGACCAACGUCGUGGUGCAGACUCAAUCCAAGGGCUUGGAGGAUGUAGGGGCAAAACUGUGUACCUCUGACGCUAAAAGGGCACAAUUGUGACGGAAAAUCAGUGGCAUUACAAGAAUCACACGCUACACAUAGGGCAAUUAUGUUCUGUACAAGAAACAUUAUUUAUAAGCAUGAUACAUUUUCAAGUAGCUUAUUAAACGGCGGUCAAAAAAACUUCGAACUUUGUUUUUGUUUUAUCAAUGAUGAAUGAUAGAUUUUGGCAGUUACUUUUAUGAUGAAGUAUUCAAUAACUGGCUUGAUUUAAUAUGCUGUUUUUUGGGAAUCUUCCUAAGUGUUUGCAUUGAACAGUCAGUUAGCUGAAUAGUAGUAUAGCUCUGGAAUCUGGUUACAUGUAAACGAGCAAUAGUUGUUGCAGGCUUGAAAUUUGAGGGAUAAAUUGAGCACCUUUAAAGAUUGGAUCAAUCUGAACACCAAGAUUGGAUCAAACUAUUGCAAGCAUGCAUCCUUUUAUUGUGGUGAAAAUCAGAAAAAGUUUUAGCAUUAUUGCUUAUAUAUAUGUUUAUUCUGAACAAUGAUAAUUUGAGUCAUGACUCCAUGCAGGAAGCACACCUAGCGAGCAAUGGCCGGCCAGUCCAGCAACCUCAACGUCACUGCGCAAUCCAACGGCACCACCGCCGGCCCCAUCGUGCUGCUCCACUACGCGGCGAACAACGCCAUGGCGAUGGCGUUCCCCAUGUUCGCCGGCGUCAACGGCGCCGUGCUGGGCGCGGUGAACAGGGCGGCGGCGCUGCCACCGCCAGCAAUGGCCAGCAUCAACAGCCCCGCCGCCGCGCAUUUCCUGGUCACGCCGGUGCUGCUCCAGGUCAUCGGCUACGACGUGAUGGCCGUCGGCCUGCUGGUGUUCAGGUUCGUCCUGCCGCCGCAUGGUAAUGACGACGACGACGUCCACCAGGUGGCAGCCGAGACGGAGCAGCACGGUGUCAUGCUUCUCGAUGACAUGCUGGCGCCAUAUCAGACGCAGCAGGGGGGAGAACUCCAUCAGGUCGAUGACGAGGAAGUCCAUGGUGUGGAUGCAGCUGUCGAGGAGGCACCGGAAGGCCGUCCCUGGUACAUGGAAGAGGACAUGAGCAGCAUCCUUGACGAUUUUGACAUCUCUCCGGGCACACCACACUGGUACUUUUAUUGAUGCUGCUGCAAUGAGCACUGGGAAGGUAUGUGGACCGUCCGAUCGAGAGGGGAUGGCGGUGAUCAAACUACUAGAAAACUGAGCAUUCGCCCCGAUGCUUAGUACCGGUUGCAUUUUGAUCUGGUACUAAUGUGAGCAUUAGUACCGAGACUAACGGGUAGUCCCUGAGGAGAUCCUCAUGAGAGCCUUUAGUACCAAGUGGAGGCUUCCCCGGUACCAAAGGGCACAAAUUAGUCCCGGUUGGAGCCUCCAACCGGUACUAAUGUGCCUAAGGACUUUUAGUACCGGGUGGAGGCUUCACCCAGUACUAAUUGGGCCCCGUGUGGACCCCGCUGCUGCCUCUUUCUCCUUCUUAUCUCCUCGUCCCCUCCCUUUCUCCCUUAUCUCUUCUUAGUUUCUAUCUCACUUAUCAUCUAUAUCCUUUCCCUUUCCUCGAGCAGCAGUGGUGGGAUGGCUCGCGGGCAACUAACGGGCAGGUGCGGGGCUUGGGCAGGGCGAUGGCGACGGUGGUGCGGCCAGCCCCCGCGGGCAGGUUGUUGGGAUACGAGGUAGGCUACGCUAGCGCAAAAUAAAAUUUUUCUACCACGUAAACCAGGGAUAACUGCUAUUAUAGAUCACGGGAUUACCACUCAACGCACAGGUGCCGAAGUUGUAGAAAUGUGUCAGGGCAGCGAAGUCGAUCACACGUCGACACAGUGUAGUCAAACACGUCGACGUCGAGCAGCUCGUCCAUGAACAGCGGCGUCCUCCUCGCGCGGUGGCUCGUCAAGCUCCUCGCCGGCUCGUCAGGCUCUCGUGUGGUAGCUCGUCCAAGUGCUGCAGAUGCAACACCUCCAAGGUAUCCACACAUGCGGGGAGGAAGCGUCGCAAGCCGGACUGCUAGGUCCGCGAGUUGCACCAAAGGCGAGGAUGUGGGAAGGGGUGCGGCUGUGGUUCGGCCAAAAAAGGGUUAAACCCUAGGACACCCCCCACCCCUCAGUAUAUAGGGGUUCCUAACGGGCCUCUGGGUCUGAAGCCCAUUAGUACUCCUAAACCUGGUCCAAUUCAGACCAUAUCCGAAUUGGACUUCCAGCCCCUUAAGUGUGUGACCCUAUAGGUUCAUAUACAUAUAGACAUGGCCCGAGUACUCCUACUCGGCCAAUAGUUAGUAGCAGCCUCUAGCAAGACAUGCUAACUCCUAUACGUACACGAAGAUCAUAUUAGAUGAACCAUCACAACAUCAUGUACAUGCUAUUCCCUUUGCCUCACGAUAUUUGGUCUAGCUCCAAGCCGACCACUCUUUCUCGAUGCUGUGAUUCGGAAUCCCUUUCUAGGUUAACUCUUAACCUCACGUAGCAUGGCCAUGCAUUUCUGCAUCUGAUCACUCGAGGGGUCCAGAGAUAUCUCUCUCAAAUAGAGAGGGGCAAAUUCCAUCUUAACUGACCAUGCCUUAUAGCAUGCUUCUUGACAAACCCAAAAGCUACCUUUAUAACUACCCAGUUACGGUGUAGCGUUUGAUAGCCCCUAAGUAAGUCGAUCCACAUCUUGAGUACAUGCGACAAUCUUAGGUCUAAGGACAAAGUGUACACAUUGUGUAAAGAGAGAACUAUGUAACUCGCGUUGGGUCAGUCCUAGCACAUGUCUCUACACGUGCCCACAUUAUUAGUUUGACAUCUCCAUGUCCAUGACUUGUGAAACAUAGUCAUCAACUAAUAGAUGUGCUAGUCUAAUAUUCAUGUGUAUCCUCACAUGAACUCCGACUAGGGACAACUUUGAGAAUAACCAUACAAGUAAAGAGUUUCACACAUAAUUCACAUAAUUGCAAACCAAUUCUAAUAGCCUUUAAUGGAUAUUCAAGGAACACAAUAUAAAAUAUUGAUACAAUGGAAUAUCAUCAUCUCUAUGAUUGCCUCUAGGGCAUACCUCCAACACAGGCAUUGUUGGGCGGGGUGGCGACGGUGGUGGCGCCACCAGCCCCCGUGCGUAGGCACGGCGGCGAGGCUGACCAGGCGGCGGGACGAGCCCCCGUGGGCGGGCAUGGCCCGGCGAAGGGGCGUGCUCACGACCUGAGCAGCAUGGCCCCAAGGAGCGGCUACAGGGGUAGUGCAGCUCGGAUCCGGAGCGCCUCGCGACAGGACGGUGCAGCCUGGAGGCGUGGUGGCCUGGAGGUGCAGAGACCAUCCCGGCGUGCCGGCCGGGGUCUGCAGUGGCUCGACGCGGCACUCGGAGGCUAGGGUCCGCUGCUGCCUCUCUCUCCUUAUCUCCUCAUCCCAUCCCUUUCUCCCUUAUCUCUUCUUAGUUUCUCUCUCACUUAUCCUCUAUUCCUCUCCCUCUGCUCGAGCAGCAGUGGUGGGAUGGCUCGCGGGCAACUGAUGAGCAGGCGCGGGGCUCAGGCGGGGCGACGGCGGCGCAGCCAGCCCUCGCGAGCGGGCAUGGCUAGGCGGGGUGGCGACGGUGGCGGCGCCGCCAGCCCCCGUGGGUAGGCACAGCGACGAGGCUGACCAGGCGUUGCGGCCAGCCCCCACGGGCAGGCAUGACCUGGCGAAGGGGCGCGCUAGCGACUUGGGUCUGCGGCAGCGCAGGACGGCCGGUCCCAGCUCUGGCUAGCAAAGCGGCGCGCCCCGGCCUGCCCGGUGCGACCGGGCAUGGCGCCACGGUGGAACGACGUGUGCAGGGCCCGUGCAGUGGUGGCCGGCACUGUGGAACGAAAUACUAAUAUAGAAUAAAGAAACAAAAAAGAAAAUAAGAAAAGGAAAGGAAAAAUAAAAAGGCCAUGCGUGACGUGGUGUGACGUGGCAGGCAAUUUAGUACCGGUUGGUCUCGCCAUCCGGUACUAAAGGCAAGUUUGGAAUUGUUGCUUUGAUUUGUGAAAGUGCAUUUAUGUUAUUUGUUGCCUUUUUAUCAUAGCACAUUGCCUGCAUGCUCUUCAGUACCAACGAAAUCAGGUGCUUCUUGUGGUUGCUCAGUAAUAAUGCUCUCAUUACUAGAGGUAACAACACACAAUUUCGCAUUGCUGAGAUUUUGUAACAGUGCGCUGGACGGUUAUAUAUUACUCGUGAUGCUACGACUUGUGUUAAUUUCAGUUAGUAGAUCCAGGACAUAUUGCAUCAAAAAUUUGUUUCUUCCUGCAAUCCUAGGCACGAUUGCAAGAUUCUUCUUCAAUCCUACUGCCUAGUAAUAUUUUAAAUAGCCGGCUAUAGCUGUUGCGAAAGAACAACACUAGGGUAUGGUCCUUUUAGUGCUAAGUGACAGAACCUGCUAAUAGCCAGAUUUAGCCCGCUAAAUAAGCUAAAUCAGAGUGCUUCAGCGCAGCUAAAUCAAGCUAUUGCUUAGUCGGGUCGAAAUUAACAUAUGUCACGCAAAGCCCAAAAUGACCAUAUACAAGACCUUCCGUGUAACAAAGGCGUGAAUGUCUUUUGUGUUUGUGGCAUGUGUCUUUGUUUAAUUUGCUGAGCUGAAUAUCCAAAAUUCUGAACACAAUUUGUAAACCGCCAAAUGAGUUAGCUACGGCUAUAACCCCGCUGUAGGUUUUUCUUAACCUUAAAAUUCCUGCCCCCGCUCACCGUCAGCUUCUUCCACCAGCAGGACGCCGCUGUGCCGCGCUUCGUCCCCACGGCUUCUGCGUCGCGCCAGUUCCCCAGCCUCCGGGACCCGGAGUCGCCGCCGCCGUAGCUGAGCACGCUCGUCGACGGCGGCCUGUUCGACUCCUCCCGCGUGGUGGCCUCCAGGAACGGCCUCCACGCCGUCGACCUCCGGCGCGGCGGCAAUCACGGCAGGGCCCUCAAGCUUUGCGUCUGCAACCCCAUGACCGGUCCGGUCAAGUGCACGUACUGCCUCCCCUUAGCUGGAAGGACCCCUCGGGCACUACGCGUGCACGGCGCUCACCGCCGGCGAGGACGACGGCAUUGAUCCGCCGCGGUCACCUUCCUCCUAUCGCCUGCUCUUGGUGGGUACAGCCUGCGUAGCUUCAUCGCGUUCCGGAGCUACUCGUCCGACGACGAUAGCAGCUGGAGCCCGGAGGCCAAGGUGACCGGUGCCCAGCAUGGCAAGAGGAAGAUGGGACUGACACGCAAUGGCGUCGUGGCCCCUGGCGGCCGGGCGGCCUACUGGCUGGCCAAGGACGUGGCGUUCGGGCUGCGCCUCGACACGCUGGAGGCGUCGGUGGCGAGCUUACAUCGUUCAAGGCCAUGGCGGCAACAACCAAGACGAAGAAACGCUGCAGAAAGGCCGUGAGUAGUGGGCAAGGUUUUUAAUUCCGGUUUUAAAAGUUUUUCAGUCCCCUCGAAGAAAGGCCGUGAGUAGAAAGGCCAUGACGACCCUAAGAAUCGAACCCACAACCCCUUGAGAUGGGAAGGAAGAGGUGUACCACUGCACCGCUAUGUUUUACGUAUUCAUAUGCGUUUCUUCAUCCUAUAAAAUAGCAACUUGAUUCAAAAUUUUCGAAAUUUUUUGACCAAAAUAUAUUUUUUCGUUCAUCAUUGAAAAACACGAAAUUCCGGAAAUUCCGGCGAAAUUUCGCCGAAAAUGUUAACCCUGCCGAGCAACGCCGGGGACGGUAACCUAUGGGUACGAGAUGGAUCGGGCGGCAUACGGCAUACCUGCUGGCAUCCCUUGCCGAGCCAGAAGAGGAGGAUUUGUAAUCGAUGUUCCUGGUACUUUUAAGUUGCCUUGCUAAAAAAAAUUAGACAUGCCUUGAGUUGCAUUGCAGGGUAUGCUGAUACUUUUGCUUUUUCAUUUUAUCAAGACCGAAUUAGUUCAUUUUUCGUAUUAAGACUGAAUGUAACUCUUUGAUUUUCGUAUCAAGAAUGAGCUAAUGUGAUCAGUCCAUGAUAACAAUAGACGAACUGAACUCUUUCAUCGGUGUCACUUGAAACUGGCAGUCAGAGACUCAGAGUUAUGCAGUAUUUUCUGGUUCGAAAUUUGACAGUGUGUCAGCUUGUCAUUUUUUUUUAGUUCAGAUCAGACCGUGAGAGACCAUCAGAUUUGAAAAGGAUGGUGCUAAAAUUCGGAAUAUAUAUGACGUUGAUCUGAAUAUGUGAUGUUGAUGUGAAUGUUUGACUACACGAGAAUAUUUGAAUACAUCUACUGCUAUUAAUCUUUGAAUCUGAUCGCCAUCUUCUCUAAGAUUACAUCUACACUCUUUGGCUAAUCCUAACCUUCUGGCUAAUAUAACUCCCCACCAGAUGGUUGUUAAGUAUGAGACAUCUCAUUGUCCAAUUCUUUCUAUUAUCUGUUAAGUUGCAUGUCUGGAUAACAUGGAGGAUAUCAUAUUUAUGAGUAUGUGACUAUCUGAUAAGUUGCAUAUCAUUCAUCAACAGCUGCGAGCACGUACUCAACUACUUUCUUAUCCAAGAGUCACCUUGAACCGUAACACUAACUUUAAUCUUGAUCUCUAAUCCUAGCUAAGAAGGCGAGGCCUCACUUGUAAGCACACAAUUUUCAUGAGAAAGGACCAAAAUGUGGUUCUCAGCUCUCGGCUGAGAACACUUGCCAUUGGUGCCAUCUGCAGGUCAUGGAACCCUGCAUAUAUAUAGGCACCUGAGAAAGCAACAGAGAGGAGGUGAGAGACGAGAAGCACAAGCCAUGGGAUCGUUACAGAAUUGUAAUUUUUCAUAAAUUGUGGUAACUCAGCACCUGUAAACAAAAUUUUGUGAAAAUGAAUACAUUCUGCACAUGCAGUUCACAAAUGUUUGUUCCAUCGUUAACAUGGAACUAGAUACUAGACUAAAUGGACCAAGACUUGAUUCAGAUUUUGAUUCAAUCUACUAGAGGCAAAGAUAAUUCCACCAAGCCAUCUAAUUUCCAUUCCUUGUCUGAAUAACUCAGUUACUCCACCUCGCAUGAUUACAUCUUCGCAUUCGCACGCAUCAGACCCCCCCCCCCCAC